rnacentral:rRNA from 1 species
UGAUCAUGGCUCAGAUUGAACGCUGGCGGCAGGCCUAACACAUGCAAGUCGAGCGGAUGACAGGAGCUUGCUCCUGAAUUCAGCGGCGGACGGGUGAGUAAUGCCUAGGAAUCUGCCUGGUAGUGGGGGACAACGUUUCGAAAGGAACGCUAAUACCGCAUACGUCCUACGGGAGAAAGCAGGGGACCUUCGGGCCUUGCGCUAUCAGAUGAGCCUAGGUCGGAUUAGCUAGUUGGUGAGGUAAUGGCUCACCAAGGCGACGAUCCGUAACUGGUCUGAGAGGAUGAUCAGUCACACUGGAACUGAGACACGGUCCAGACUCCUACGGGAGGCAGCAGUGGGGAAUAUUGGACAAUGGGCGAAAGCCUGAUCCAGCCAUGCCGCGUGUGUGAAGAAGGUCUUCGGAUUGUAAAGCACUUUAAGUUGGGAGGAAGGGCAUUAACCUAAUACGUUAGUGUUUUGACGUUACCGACAGAAUAAGCACCGGCUAACU